rnacentral:rRNA from 1 species
CCAGAGCUUGCUUUGGUGCCUUAGUGGCGGACGGGUGAGUAACACGUGGGAAUCUACCCAGCAGUGCGGGAUAACUACUGGAAACGGUGGCUAAUACCGCAUACGCCCUUCGGGGGAAAGUUUUUUCGCUGUUGGAUGAGCCCGCAUUUGAUUAGCUAGUUGGUAAGGUAAAAGCUUACCAAGGCGACAAUCAAUAGCUGAUUUGAGAGGAUGAUCAGCCACACUGGGACUGAGAUACGGCCCAGACUCC